CCUAGCGUUUUUCUUUCAUAUUUGUGAUUCAUCUGUUAGCAUACUAUCGGUGCGUGAUUUCUGUGAAAGAGAAAAAGAAAAUAAUGCUCCUUUAAUGGAAAUGUUCGUCAAUGAAUUGCCGCCAUGACGGGAAUAUCUGAAAAAACCGUAAGCGCCAUAACUAAAGAAGGCGAAAUUGCUGCAUCCACUUCUCAAAAAAUUUCUACGCCCAGAAAAAAACGCAUCCAAGAAAAAAUAAUUAUUUUGGGUGAUUUUGAUCUAUGUGCAGUUCGAAAUAAAAUACUUGAAAUGUAUAUCGUCAGAAAGGAGGUACCGACUUUGGGGAAGCUCUUAGCAGAGUUAAAAAUUGAUACACAUUUUUGUGCAGGUCGUACUACAUUACGGAAAAUUAUACCUGCCUUCGAAAAAAUGCUGUGGGAAACUCUAUUUCACUAUUUCUUGAGGGAAAGUGAAAUAUUGUGAAAAACGUUUGAUAGCUUUUAAUGACAGGUAGCCUAAAACGCAAAUAGAUUACUUUAUUUCCGAAUAAUAAAACUAUUAAAAUAA